GAUGAACGCUGGCGGCGUGCCUAAUACAUGCAAGUCGAGCGAAUGGAUUAAGAGCUUGCUCUUAUGAAGUUAGCGGCGGACGGGUGAGUAACACGUGGGUAACCUGCCCAUAAGACUGGGAUAACUCCGGGAAACCGGGGCUAAUACCGGAUAAUAUUUUGAACUGCAUGGUUCAAAAUUGAAAGGCGGCUUCGGCUGUCACUUAUGGAUGGACCAGCGUCGCAUUAGCUGGUUGGUGAGGUAACGGCUCACCAAGGCAACGAUGCGUAGCCGACCUGAGAGGGUGAUCGGCCACACUGGGACUGAGACACGGCCCAGACUCCUACGGGAGGCAGCAGUAGGGAAUCUUCCGCAAUGGACGAAAGUCUGACGGAGCAACGCCGCGUGAGUGAUGAAGGCUUUCGGGUCGUAAAACUCUGUUGUUAGGGAAGAACAAGUGCUAGUUGAAUAAGCUGGCACCUUGACGGUACCUAACCAGAAAGCCACGGCUAACUACGCGCCAGCCGCCGCCGUAA
rnacentral:rRNA from 1 species